GCCCUUUGUGAGUGGGCUGAGGUGGGGUUUGUGAUGGUGCUUUGUGAGAGGGCUGAGGUGGGGUUUGUGAUGGCCCUUUGUGAGUGGGCUGAGGUGGGGUUUGUGAUGGCCCUUUGUGAGUGGGCUGAGGUGGGGUUUGUGAUGGUGCUUUGUGAGAGGGCUCAAGUGGGGUUUUUGAUGGCCCUUUGUGAGUGGGCACAGGUGGGGUUUGUGACUCAAACCCUUAGGGUGAGUCCCCAGUAGCAUUUCAUCUUUCAGCCUUGUAGAUGUUAGCAUUUAUGGAACUGGACAAUAGCCCUUUAAAAAACACAGCCAGCUCCUCUGCAAAGGCAGGGCUAAUUACAGGACAGGGUUUGCCAACCUCAACCUCUUUGCUGAGACAACAUCCACCCAUUAACCACAAUCAAGAGAAAACUGCAGCCACUGGAGGUCCAGGACCUGUCCAUGGUC